rnacentral:rRNA from 1 species
AUCAACUUUCGAUGGUAGGAUAGAGGCCUACCAUGGUGGUAACGGGUAACGGGGUGUUAGGGCACGACACCGGAGAGGGAGCCUGAGAACGGCUACCACAUCCAAGGAUGGCAGCAGGCGCGCAAAUUACCCAAUCCCGACACGGGGAGGUAGUGACAAUAAAUAACAAUACGGGGUCCUUUCGGGUUUCGUAAUUGGAAUGAGUACAAUUUAAAUCUCUUAACGAGGAACAAUUGGAGGGCAAGUCUGGUGCCAGCAGCCGCGGUAAUUCCAGCUCCAAUAGCGUAUAUUAAAGUUGUUGCAGUUAAAAAGCUCGUAGUUGAAUUUCGGGAUUAGUACGCUGGUCGUGCCUUCGGUAUGUACUGGUGUUACUGGUUCCUACCUUCUGACGAACCGUCAUGUCAUUAAUUUGGUGUGGCGGGAAAUCAGGACUGUUACUUUGAAAAAAUUAGAGUGUUUAAAGCAGGCUCGCGCUUGAAUACAUUAGCAUGGAAUAAUGAAAUAGGACGUUCGAUCCUAUUUUGUUGGUUUCUAGGAUUGACGUAAUGAUUAAUAGGGAUAGUUGGGGGCAUUAGUAUUCAAUUGUCAGAGGUGAAAUUCUUGGAUUUAUUGAAGACUAACUACUGCGAAAGCAUUUGCCAAGGAUGUUUUCAUUAAUCAAGAACGAAAGUUAGGGGAUCGAAGACGAUCAGAUACCGUCGUAGUCUUAACCAUAAACUAUGCCGACUAGGGAUCGGAUGAUGUUAUUUUUAAUGACUCAUUCGGCGCCUUACGGGAAACCAAAGUGUUUGGGUUC